rnacentral:rRNA from 1 species
UACGGGGGGGGUAUGCGUUGUUCGGAAUUACUGGGCGUAAAGGGCUCGUAGGCGGCCAACUAAGUCGGACGUGAAAUCCCUCAGCUUAACUGGGGAACUGCGUCCGAUACUGGAUGGCUUGGAUUCGGGAGAGGAAUGCGGAAUUCCAGGUGUAGCGGUGAAAUGCGUAGAUAUCUGGAGGAACACCGGUGGCGAAGGCGGCAUUCUGGACCGACAUUGACGCUGAGGAGCGAAAGCCAGGGGAGCAAACGGG